UUUUUAAUGAGAGUUUGAUCCUGGCUCAGAACGAACGCUGGCGGCGUGCCUAACACAUGCAAGUCGAACGGAGUCAUUUUGAAGUAGCAAUACGGAUGGAUGACUUAGUGGCGCACGGGUGAGUAACACGUAGGUAACCUGCCCUUAAGAGGGGGAAAACCCGCCGAAAGGCGAGCUAAUACCGCAUAAGACCACGAAUUGAGAUGUUUGUGGUAAAAGGAGCAAUCCACUU
rnacentral:rRNA from 1 species